AACCCUGAGGCGUGAUGACGAUGCACUACGGUGCAGAAGUAGUUGAUGCCCUGCUUCCAGGAAAAGCCUCUAAGCAUCAGGUAACAUCAAAUCGUACCCCAAACCGACACAGGUGGUCAGGUAGAGAAUACCAAGGCGCUUGAGAGAACUCGGGUGAAGGAACUAGGCAAAAUGGUGCCGUAACUUCGGGAGAAGGCACGCUGGCGCGUAGGUGAAGAGACUUGCUCUCGGAGCUGAAGCCAGUCGCAGAUACCAGCUGGCUGCAACUGUUUAAUAAAAACACAGCACUGUGCAAACACGAAAGUGGACGUAUACGGUGUGACGCCUGCCCGGUGCUGGAAGGUUAAUUGAUGGGGUCAGCCGCAAGGCGAAGCUCUUGAUCGAAGCCCCAGUAAACGGCGGCCGUAACUAUAACGGUCCUAAGGUAGCGAAAUUCCUUGUCGGGUAAGUUCCGACCUGCACGAAUGGCGUAAUGAUGGCCAGGCUGUCUCCACCCGAGACUCAGUGAAAUUGAACUCGCUGUGAAGAUGCAGUGUACCCGCGGCAAGACGGAAAGACCCCGUGAACCUUUACUAUAGCUUGACACUGAACAUUGAGCCUUGAUGUGUAGGAUAGGUGGGAGGCUUUGAAGUGUGGACGCCAGUCUGCAUGGAGCCAACCUUGAAAUACCACCCUUUAAUGUUUGAUGUUCUAACUCGGCCCCGUAAUCCGGGGUGAGGACAGUGUCUGGUGGGUAGUUUGACUGGGGCGGUCUCCUCCCAAAGAGUAACGGAGGAGCACGAAGGUUAGCUAAUCACGGUCGGACAUCGUGAGGUUAGUGCAAAGGCAUAAGCUAGCUUGACUGCGAGAGUGACGGCUCGAGCAGGUACGAAAGUAGGUCUUAGUGAUCCGGUGGUUCUGAAUGGAAGGGCCAUCGCUCAACGGAUAAAAGGUACUCCGGGGAUAACAGGCUGAUACCGCCCAAGAGUUCAUAUCGACGGCGGUGUUUGGCACCUCGAUGUCGGCUCAUCACAUCCUGGGGCUGAAGUAGGUCCCAAGGGUAUGGCUGUUCGCCAUUUAAAGUGGUACGCGAGCUGGGUUUAGAACGUCGUGAGACAGUUCGGUCCCUAUCUGCCGUGGGCGUUGGAAGAUUGAGAGGGGUUGCUCCUAGUACGAGAGGACCGGAGUGAACGCACCACUGGUGUUCGGGUUGUCAUGCCAAUGGCACUGCCCGGUAGCUAAGUGCGGAAAAGAUAAGCGCUGAAAGCAUCUAAGCGCGAAACUUGCCUCGAGAUGAGUCUUCCCUGGGCCUUUAAGGCCCCUGAAGGAACGUUUAAGACUAAGACGUUGAUAGGCUGGGUGUGUAAGUGCAGCGAUGCAUUGAGCUAACCAGUACUAAUGAUCCGUGAGGCUUAACCUU
rnacentral:rRNA from 1 species